AGGCGGAUAGCUCAGUGGUAGAGCGGCGCGUUUACACCGCGCUGGUCGCAGGUUCGAUCCCUGUUCCGCCUA
rnacentral:tRNA from 1 species